AUGGUGAGGUAUUUGAACAUAUGUAGGAGGAAGAGGAGAGGAGAGGUGAAUAGAAGAAUCUGGAUCAUCAGAAAGUUCUACAUGGGGAACAGAAGGAAAGGAAAAACAGAAGGAUGAGCAGAAGAGGAUGCAGUUUUAAAAGGAAAACAGGUUUCAUGGAAUAUAACAUCCCUGGAAAUCAAACAUUUCUUGGAAGCCAUAUCAUACAAUCAAUAACCCUUCUUGGCAAAAGGAUAACCCAGGAAAACACAAGAAAUGACUCUUGGUCUUAAUUUGUCCCUUUGAGGGAUUGGGACAGUAGCAUAGGCAAGGCACCCAAAUGCUCUCAAAUGAGAGUAGGUUGGAGCUAUUCCAUACAGAAUUUCAUUAGGAGACUUAUUAUGAAGUAAUCUGGAUGGUAUUCUGUUAAGGAGGUAAGUGGCAGUCAACAAACAGUCCCCCCAGAAGGACACAGGCAACCCAGAUUGAAAAAGUAAAACUCUACAUGUUUCAAGGAGGGUUCUAUGUUUUCUCUCAACAACACCAUUCUGUUGAGGGGAAUGAGAGCAGGUGGUUUGAUGAAUAAUCCCCUGACUACUAAAGAAAGAUCUACCCUCAAUGCUAGAACCAAUUCUAAAGCAUUGUCACUUCUAACAGUUUGAACCACAGCAUCAAAUUGGGUUUUAACCAAACAGAGGAAAGACUUAAGCAAAGAAAAAGCAUUGCUUUUAGAUCCCAUUAAGUGUGUCCAGGUUGCCCUAGAGAAAUCAUCAACUAUUGUAAGGAAAUAUCUACAACCAGGAACCCAUUAAGUGUGUCCAGGUUGCCCUAGAGAAAUCAUCAACUAUUGUAAGAAAAUAUCUACAACCAGAAGAAGUUGGAGUAUGAUAAGGCCCCCAAGUAUCCAUAUGAAUUAAUUGAAAGGGUCUAGAGGUAUUAAUAGUACUAUCAGGAAAGGGGAGUCUAGUCUAUUUUGCCAUAGGACAGACAGAACAAGGAAAAGGUUGUUUGGAAGCAAAAGGAAAAGACAAACCAGAAAUAUGUUUCAUAUUUGCAAAUGAAGUAUGGGCAAGUCUUAAGUGCCAAAUGUAAUUCAUGUCAGUUGUAACAACAUUAUUACAGAUAGAACUAUGUAUAUGUGAGGGCAAGAGAACAGCCUUGUUAUCAGACAAAAUGUCAUCAUUACAAGAAGUAGGCACAGAACAAGCAGAUGUAGAGGAACAGUUAAUAGAGGAAGAAGGGGAAAGAGGAACCCAGGCCAGUUUAUAUGGGCAGCAGCUUCUCUACCAAGAUCCAGAGGCCUCCUCAGAGAAGGGUCUUGUAUCAUGUGGAGGAAGCAUGAAUUUUCAGUGAAUAAAACUACACAAUGUAACUGCUUCACUAACUUGUGGACAGAAAUCAAGUUGUGAAACAGUUGCAUUUGGAGGAAGCAUGAAUUUUCAGUGAAUAAAACUACACAAUGUAACUGCUUCACUAACUUGUGGACAGAAAUCAAGUUGUGGACAAUUACUCGAUAUCUAUAUUAGAAGAAAGGUACUAUUUGGUAGAAACAAUAUUUGGUUUGAUUUUAUGUUUCGUUAUGAAAAUGAUUGUAAAAUAGAAGUUUAUGUGAUGUUACUUGAAGUUCUCUCUCCACUAAAAAUAUCCGAGUAUUUUGUCUUCUACCAAUUUUAUAAUUUGAAUAGAAGAAAUUGUCUUUAAAAAGAUUUUUAUCUUAAUUUUUCAGAUGUUUUAUGUUAUUUCUACUUAUUUUCUAUGGAAAAAGGUUAUAUAAUUAAAAUCAUUUUCAUGACGAAAUAUAAAAUCAAACCAAAUAUUGUUUGUACCAAAUAUUUGUACCUUUCUUCUAAUAUAGAUAUCGAUUAAUGAGAUAGACUGCUGUGGCAAAGGCAUAAGGCCAGUAAAUGAGAGUUAUAGAGGCAUAAUGAAGGAGAGUGAGACCAGUAUCGACAAUAUGACGGUGACGGCGUUCAGCAUAGCCAUUAUGUUGAGGUGUAUGAGGAGGUGAAGUGAGAUGUGAGAUGCCAUGGGAGGCAAGAAAAGAGCGUAAAGCUAAGAAUUCACCCCCAUUAUCAGUAUAUAGAGCAAUGAUUUUAGCAGAGAAAUAUUUUUCUACAAUGGACUUAAAGGUGGGGAAGGUUUGUAAGACAUCAGAUUUACGGCGUAAAGGAAAAACCAAACGUACUUAGAAAAAUAAUCAACAAAAAUGACAUAAUAUUUAUAUCCUUCAUUAGAAAUAAUUGGAGAGGUCUAUACAUCAGAAAAAUAAGCUCCAGCGGAGCAGUAGAAGAUAAACUUGAAUCAGAAAAAGGUAAUUGAUGACACAUAUGAAGCUUGCAAGAGACACAAGAAAAAUCAGACACAUUAUUGGACGCUAUACUGCUAGAAGAAACUAAAUGACGCAGGAUUUUAGCUGACGGAUGACCAAACCGAGAAAGCCACAAUGACGCAGGGAGCUUUUGUGCCGUAAGGGCGGGCGGUAGACGGGAAGCCGCCGGCCAGUAGUAGGCGUCGUCCCUACGUGGGCCACUGACGAGUAUUGCCCACGUGCGACGAUCCUUCACCCUAAAAUCUGUAUCAGAAAAAACAACAUUAACAUUAUUGUGACGACAUAAUUGAGCAACAAAGAUCAAACUUUUACGAAUAUGUGGAACACAGAGAGCCUCAGGCAACAAAAGAGAGGAAUAACUGAAAAGUUGUCCAGUAUGUGUAAUUUUUAAACCUUCACCAUUAC
rnacentral:lncRNA from 1 species